rnacentral:rRNA from 1 species
CACAUGCAAGUCGACGGGAUCCUAGCUUGCUAGGUGAGAGUGGCGGACGGGUGAGUAACACGUGGGAAUCUGCCUUUGGUUCGGAUAACCGCGGGAAACUGCGGCUAAUACCGAAUGCCCUCGAGAGAGGAAAGAUUUAUCGCCAGAAGAGGAGCCCGCGUCCGAUUUAGGUAGUUGGUGGGGUAAAGGCCUACCAAGCCGACGAUCGGUAGCUGGUCUGAGAGGAUGAUCAGCCACACUGGGACUGAGAUACGGCCCAGACUCCUACGGGAGGCAGCAGUGGGGAAUAUUGGACAAUGGGGGCAACCCUGAUCCAGCAAUGCCGCGUGAGUGAUGAAGGCCUUAGGGUUGUAAAGCUCUUUUGCCAGGGAAGAUGAUGACUGUACCUGGAGAAUAAGCCCCGGCUAACUUCGUG